CUUUUGAUUUGUUUUCAUGAACUGAGUAAAAUAUAAAAAAGGGAAGUACUUACCUUCGUAUAGGCGCCGCUGAAACCUCGUUUGCUCCGUCCAAGUCGGAGUCUGAUGAGAUUUUGGGUUUGAAGGCGGCGGAGUAGGGCGAAAGGACUUAGUUUUUUUUCUUUUUUUCUUUGAUGGUUUAAAAGAGGGGAUUAAAUAUUAGGGAUUUUAGGGUUUUGAUUUAGUCUAUACAGGGUAUAAGAAACGACACCGUUUAGGGCCUGUUUCAAUGACUCUAAAACGGUGUCGUAUUAGCACUGACCCGAUGACCCGACCCAAGCACGGCUAGAUCCGCGCGCUUCG
rnacentral:lncRNA from 1 species